rnacentral:misc_RNA from 1 species
GGAGAUAGUAAAAGACAAUGUAGAUUUCUGAGUAAUGGGGAGGAUAACUACUCUCUAGGGAAGAAAAU